GAUGAACGCUGGCGGCGUGCCUAAUACAUGCAAGUCGAGCGAACAGACGAGGAGCUUGCUCCUUCGACGUUAGCGGCGGACGGGUGUGUAACACGUAGGUAACCUACCUAUAAGACUGGGAUAACUUCGGGAAACCGGAGCUAAUACCGGAUAAUAUUUCGAACCGCAUGGUUCGAUAGUGAAAGAUGGCUUUGCUAUCACUUAUAGAUGGACCUGCGCCGUAUUAGCUAGUUGGUAAGGUAACGGCUUACCAAGGCAACGAUACGUAGCCGACCUGAGAGGGUGAUCGGCCACACUGGAACUGAGACACGGUCCAGACUCCUACGGGAGGCAGCAGUAGGGAAUCUUCCGCAAUGGGCGAAAGCCUGACGGAGCAACGCCGCGUGAGUGAUGAAGGUCUUCGGAUCGUAAAACUCUGUUAUUAGGGAAGAACAAACGUGUAAGUAACUGUGCACGUCUUGACGGUACCUAAUCAGAAAGCCACGGCUAACUACGU
rnacentral:rRNA from 1 species